UAGGGAAUCUUCCGCAAUGGGCGAAAGCCUGACGGAGCAACGCCGCGUGAGUGAAGAAGGUCUUCGGAUCGUAAAACUCUGUUAUUAGGGAAGAACAAAUGUGCAAGUAACUAUGCACGUCUUGACGGUACCUAAUCAGAAAGCCACGGCUAACUACGUGCCAGCAGCCGCGGUAAUACGUAGGUGGCAAGCGUUAUCCGGAAUUAUUGGGCGUAAAGCGCGCGUAGGCGGUUUUUUAAGUCUGAUGUGAAAGCCCACGGCUCAACCGUGGAGGGUCAUUGGAAACUGGAAAACUUGAGUGCAGAAGAGGAAAGUGGAAUUCCAUGUGUAGCGGUGAAAUGCGCAGAGAUAUGGAGGAACACCAGUGGCGAAGGCGACUUUCUGGUCUGUAACUGACGCUGAUGUGCGAAAGCGUGGGGAUCAAACAGGAUUAGAUACCCUGGUAGUCCACGCCGUAAACGAUGAGUGCUAAGUGUUAGGGGGUUUCCGCCCCUUAGUGCUGCAGCUAACGCAUUAAGCACUCCGCCUGGGGAGUACGACCGCAAGGGUUG
rnacentral:rRNA from 1 species